GAUGAACGCUGGCGGCGUGCCUAAUACAUGCAAGUCGAGCGAACAGACGAGGAGCUUGCUCCUCUGACGUUAGCGGCGGACGGGUGAGUAACACGUGGAUAACCUACCUAUAAGACUGGGAUAACUUCGGGAAACCGGAGCUAAUACCGGAUAAUAUAUUGAACCGCAUGGUUCAAUAGUGAAAGACGGUUUUGCUGUCACUUAUAGAUGGAUCCGCGCCGCAUUAGCUAGUUGGUAAGGUAACGGCUUACCAAGGCAACGAUGCGUAGCCGACCUGAGAGGGUGAUCGGCCACACUGGAACUGAGACACGGUCCAGACCCCUACGGGAGGCAGCAGUAGGGAAUCUUCCGCAAGGGGCGAAAGCCUGACGGAGCAACGCCGCGUGAGUGAUGAAGGUCUUCGGAUCGUAAAACGCUGUUAUUAGGGAAGAACAAAUGUGUAAGUAACUAUGCACGUCUGGACGGUACCUAAGCAGAAAACCACGGCUAACUACGU
rnacentral:rRNA from 1 species